rnacentral:lncRNA from 1 species
CCACAUCGAGCAUCAAAACACUUGCACUUCCAUAUAUGAAGGAACCUGAAUGAGUUUCGGGCUUGGGAAGUUAUUGGAUCAUGUUAGGACCCGGGAAAAUAUUUAGCGGUUUCAAAAUGCAACGUCAGCUGCUGCUGACGUGGCAUAUAUUUUUCACUAGCAGCCCAUUGUAAUUUGACAUCUAUCUGAUGACAUGGAAUUGAAUAAAAAAAUAGAAAUUUGUCCAAGGUCUGUUCUGCCAUGAAAGUUCUUGCUUCAUUGAAGUUUGCAGCACCUCCGUCGAGGCGGUCACCAGCGGAGCCACCAGCGCCGCGUCCUGCGCUAAAUCGAGCCGCCCCGUCCGGCGUUGCUCGACGCCGACGACGGCCAUGGAUGGCCAGAUCUAUAGAUUUGAAGAGUGACGCCGGAGAAGGUGACGAAGGCCAUGGAUGAGGGACGCGCUGCCAGAUCUGGAGGUUGGAGAUAAACAGAAAAAGACGGGAGCCGGAGGGGUGGCUCGGCCCGAUCGCGAGUGACGCCGGAAGGGGUCUUCCAUCAUUAAUGGCCGCAAUUUUUUCUUGUUCAUGGCUCACGUGGCGCCUCAUCCACAGAUCUGGCGAUGGCGGAUCGGCCAUGGCCGCGAGCCUUGACAGCGAGCUCCAAAUCUCGUCCUUGGACGAAGAUUCGACAACGGAAGCUUCUCUCAUUCGUCGGAGUUGCAGACCUCCUCGAUGUCGCCACAAGCGGAGUCGCCGGCGCUUUAUCCUGAGAGUCCACACCGACCCACGUCGCGAGCCAUGGACAGUUGCAGCCAUGGACGAUGGAGGAGAAGGAUAAGAGAAAACGCAGGCCGGAUGAAGGAGAACGAAAGAGAGAGAGAGAAAAAUAAAAGUCAGAUUUUUAUUUGAUUCCGAGUCAGUUGCUGAAUGGCAAUCUGGACACAUGUCAAUCCGCGAGUGGGUGUCCGUAAAAUAAAUUUAUGUCACAUCAGCCGUUAACGUGCUGAUUUGAAACACCGAAUAUUUUCUCCUACUCAUUUUUGGUCGUAGUAGGUCUAAUCCGAAGGCCUUUACCUUUCCCAAGGAAAAUCUGAACGGGUUCAUUCGUCGCAAUUACCGCAACCAUAGAAAUCAAAUGGCCCACAUUUCUUUCCAUUUUCUUUUUUUUUUAUUUUUAAUAGUUAUUUACUAAAAACUGGUUCAGGGAUGAUUCAAAAUCUGUAAUCAAUCUUUCAAGUGUCCAUCAUGUGUUGCCACAAAAUUUUCUUAAGCUUUAGUUUGAUUCCAUCCUCAUACAUGAAUAUACUGAAGUUCCAUAAUUAUUUAUAUAAAUUAUGAGGAUCGACCUCACAUAACAUACAACAAAAGAUGCCUCAAAUAUAGUAUGAUUGGAGAAGCUUCAGAAAUCUGACUGAACUUCAGGAAGAGGCACAUCGUCAAUUAGCUGAACAAUCUCUUGGAAACGACCCGAAUCUCAUGCUAGCAGACACGUCAAAGCAAACACUAGAAAAGACAUAUUGAUGACCAGCCACAUGAAUAGAGAUAAACUCAUCCAGAGAAGUAACUCGGAACCGAAAGUUCCAAAAAUAAUAUACAAGCAUCGGUAUACCAAUUUCGGGCUUGCAGGUCCGGUCACUUUGAUUAAUGCUAUGAAAUAGAUAACUUCACAAAUGACAUAAAGCUGCAAAACCAUGUGACUCGACACUUCAAUAUGCUGCGAAUUGAAAUGCGCGAUGACGAGCAAUUUGAAGAAGGUAAAUACUAUGUGAAAUCUCUUGGUUGAGUCGAAACUUUCUUCUUGUUGUUGUUGUCGCUGUGGUUGUUCGUUGUUCCUAUACCAAAUCAGGAAGAAAUCAAUUGGCAAAAAAUAAAUUCAGAAGAAAAAUAAAAAUUGGCUAUUGAUCUACGCCCUAAGCGAGAACUUAAAAGCAUAUUCACAUGGAUGAGUUAAGUACCUUUCGAGUGCAAUCACAUGAUCCGCCAUGUUCUGGAGAUGGAGGAGCCUGGUGAACUCUGCGACUGUUUAUGAGAUCUGUGAAUUAGUGGAAGAGGCACUUUGGCUACAAGGUGGGGCGGGAUUAUUUAUAGGUCAUUUUUUUAACCUUUUUUUCUUUAAAAAAUAUUAUGUUCUGCAUUUGUUUAUGGGUUAAUACAUUGAAAAACCUCAAACUGGUACACCUGUGACAAAUUUACCCCAAACUAUUUUUUUGACCACCAAAAACCCCAAACUGGUAUACUUUUGACAAAUUUACCCUAAACUGGUACACUUGUGACAAAUUUACCCUCUGUUAGUUUUAGUUAAAUUUUCUUGUUAAAUUAUAAAGUUAAAUAACACGUGACAAUUGACCGGUAUAUCAAUUUGAGAUUUUACACUCUAUUUGUCAUAGUUUAUAAUUUUUGUGAUUUUUUUUGUGGUAUUAAUCUAAUUUUUCGGAGGAUAUAUUAGUCACAAAUUUACCAAUUUUGGGGUUUUUUAUGAUCGAAUAAAUUAAUUUUGGGUAAAUUUGUCAUAAAUGUACCAGUUUAUGGUUUUUUAUAGUUAGUCGGGGUAAAUUUAUCACAAAUGUACCAGUUUGGGGUUUUUCAUGGUCAAAAAAUAGUUUGGGGUAAAUUUGUCACAAGUGUACCGGUUUGGGGUUUUUUAAGGUAUUAACCCUUUGUUUAUUGACGUGGGCUUGACUUCUGGAAAAGCUCAUCGCAGGGAGCCCGUGAAAUUCCUCCUUUGCCCAGUGUAUUAAGCACACAUGUCGGGGGCAACAAAGGAAUUUUGAAGUUCCGUAGCCCCACAGAUCAACAGGUCAAGUCGACAACUUUUUUGACAAACACUAUUUGUUGACUUUUUUGACAAACACUAACAAAGGAAUUUUGAAGUUCCGUAGCCCCACAGAUCGACAGGUCAAGUCGACAACUUUUUUGACAAACACUAUUUAUUGACUUUUUUUUACAACUUCAAAAUUCCUUCGUUGCCCCCGCAAAGAAGGGAUUUCUAAUGCACAUUUAAUUUCUUAGGAUGUAAAAAGAUGUACUAUGAAAGCGUGUGAAACUCGAGCUGCAUUCUCUAGCAACUGUUCGGGGCGGAAGCAACGGCACAUCGGCAGCGAAAGCCCCGACAGUGCCUACUGCGGAAGCUCUCCGUCUAGCAAACGGUGGCGCAGUUGUUCUGCCCUGCAGUGAUCCCCUCGAACAGGUGGUGUUGGGACUCGCGAGUUCACGCCCCCAACUCCCAUUGGUUCCAUCUCUUUGCAUACGGAAGCAGAGGUGAAAAAAAUAGUUGGUUUACAAUCGGUUCGAUUAAUCAAGGUUCUCUCCUAGAAAAUGACUUGAGAAAUCAUGCUCAAAAUCAUCUAUCGACAAUUUUGAUUCAUUUCGUUGAGCCCUUCUUCAUAUUAUGAUUCACUACCAUUUGAUUUUUUAGAGAUCUAUUGGCUCCGAAAAUAGGCAGAGGCUCAUUGAUAUUUAGUGAAGUUUACAUAUUUUAUGAGCUCAUCAUAAGACAAUGUAUUAAAAUGGAAUAAGUUUAUUGAAAAUCCUAAAACUUAUCACGUGAGUGUAAUUAAGUCUUAAAAAUUUUAAUAUAUGCAAUUAAGUUCUAAAAUUUUCAAAAAGUGUAAUAAAAUCCUAAAAUUUAUCGAGUUUGUAUAAUCAAGUUCUUUUAAACUCCAUUCAACUUAACAAAUGGAAAAUGCUAAUAAGUUUUAGGAUUUGAUUAUGCCGAUUUGACAAAAUUUAGGAUUUUAUUGCAAUUUUCAAAAGUUUUAUCACUCGAUUACACUUUUGUGAUAAAGUUUAACACUUGAUUGCACUUGUUCAAUGUUUUUUUUUUUAAUCUAUUUUCAUGAUAAAUUUUGGAGCUUUUAGUGCCCUAAAAAUACUUAAUCAAAUAUGAUAUGUGUUGUCGUCCAUCCAAUGGACUUUUGCUGUAAUUAAUCUUUGUUGGUCACAUUCAUGCUAGAUGAUCACGUGUGGCCAGAAAUUUUUUAUGUGAUAUUAAUUCACGAUUUAUCAAACUUAAGUUGUAUUCCACCUUAAUGUACGUGAAAAUGUUAUUAAUUUUUUCGUUGUCUAUAUAAUCUGUGGUGAUUGACCCAAAAAUAAUCAUGGAUCUAAAUAAAUGCAUCAUUAAGACCACUCCGUAGACGUUCGUCAAAAGGGCAAAAAGGAUAAAGAAAAGCCUGAGAAAUAGAAUCGUAACAUAUAUAGACCUUAGCUGAAAAGAUGCGUCUUGACUUUAUCCAUUUAGACCCUUUUUAAAUUGUGUUAAGUGAUCCCUAUAUGGCCACCUCUAGAAAAAACCAAUUUGGCCAGAAAAAAAAAAAAAAAGAAUUUGUCCUCCAGUGGAGGCUUUCUUCGCGCACGGGCGUCAAAAUCCACCAAAUACAAAAUAUGUAUGCGAUAAUAUUCUCUUUGCUAUAAAUAUAAGUACUUAUUACAAAUAACAUCCAAUGGAUGCACAAAUAAAGUCAGGAGCUUCAAUGUACAAAUAAAGUUAGGAGCUUCAGAAAUCAAACUGAAUUUCAGAAAAGGGCAAAUCAUCAAGUGGCUAAAUAAUCUCUUGAAACCGGUUGAAAACUUGCGAAAGUAGACCAAAUGAUGCUAUAACAAACAUGAGUAAGCAUUAAUUGACAAUUAGCCACGUAGCAAGAGACAGGCUCUUCCAAAGAAGCAAUUCAAAAUCAAAAGUCCCAAAAAUGACAUACAAGGACUGGUAUAUCGGGUUAAUGAGCGCUAUUAGAUUGAUGGCUUCACAAAUAAUGUAAAGCUGUAGAAACGUGUCGCUUAGCACUUUAGUAUGCUUGAAUUAAAAUGGCCAAUUACGAUCAGCUUAAAUGAGGUGAAUGCAAUAUGAAAUGUCUUGGUUAAAUCAAAAUGUUAUUAUCGUUGUUGCUGGCAUGGCUACUCGUCAUCCCUAUGUUAAAUCAGGAAGAAAUUAAUUGGAAUAAAAGAUUGAUUCUAAAGAGAGAAGAAACCGGAUGCUUUAUCGCGCUUUGAGCACAAAGAUUUGAAGAUCGGUGAAUGAAUUAUGUACCUUCCCAAGGUCUCUGUUUGAUUCGGCAUGUUGAUGAGGAGUUGAGCGUGUUCAGAGAACAAGGAGGAUUCGAAGAGCCGGAAGAGAAUUUGCAGGUACUCAGGAGACCUUCCGCUCGCUUGAACGAUGUUUGAUCUAGAGCUUUUCUUCUGUUUAUGGAAGUGAAGUAGCGAAGGACUUGCUUCGAGCAUUGAUUUAUAAAGAGUCCCACGCACGAGCUAGAAGAGAGAGAGAGAGAGAGAGAGAGAGAGAGAGAGAGAGAGAGAGAGAUCAGCCUCUCCAAAUCAACGGUUGGGAGGACGUGAAUAGUUUCAGAGAUUUAGAGACCACCAAAUCUCAACCGUAGAUUCGACCACCCACCUCAAACGGUUGAGAUUUGGUGGUCUCUUAAACCCUUCAUGUGCUCGCAAAUCAACGGCUGAGGACAUGCUUGGCUACAUGGGAACGCAUAUCAUCAACCGUUUGACUUUUUCUGAUAUGUGCAGUGGGCCAGGUGCUUCCCAAUUUUUUAACUCGACUAAUUUCUGCUCCCUUUUGUGUUUGGUCAUGCGAGUACUUACUUAUAAGCCGUUUUAGAGCUCGAUUAAGGUUAUUUUCAAAGCCAAUUUUUUUCAUCAUUUGUACAACUUACGUACAACGAGUAUUUGGAAAAAUCUAAGGGUGCUCUAAUGAAAAAAAUCAGUUGACGAAGACUUGUCUAACCUUUUAUAAUACCUUUUAAAUAUUUAUGGAAUUUUAUGAGAUUAUUGUCUAUUAUUUUAAAAACUUAAGCUGUUAAAUAAAUGUAUAAUUUAAUAUUUAAUUAUUAUAUUAUUUUUCCUCGUGCUUAAUCUAGUCAUAUUUAAUUUUUUAAUAGUCUCAUGAAAAUAUUUCAAAGCAAAAAGAAGUAUGAUUAAAGCCCGAAGGGCAUAUAUUGCAUAAUAUAUGAUUUUAUUUUCAAAUUAUUUUAAUUUACACCAUCCCCCCUAUAUUUUUAAACAAAGGGGGGGGGGGGGGGAGAGAGAGAGAGAGAGAGAGAGAGAGAGAGAGGCACGUUACAGUAAUUAAGGUUGAAAUUCAUUUGUAAGUUCGACGAAGGGCCGAAGAAAGUGGCGUAUUUGCUUAAGGACUAAGGGAAGGUUUUGGAAGGGGAAAAAAACGAUAGUUUACUAAAAGAACCGCUUUAAAAUCGGCUCUUCCUUUUCUGGGAUCGAGGAAUGAAAUUGAACACGCUCUGUCCGGUCGACGAUGGUCUCCUCCUCAUUUUCAGUUCAUCCAGCCGACAGGCGGUGGCCGCUCUUCUUCAUUUACCCAACUCCGCUUGUCAGUUCGCUCAGCUACCGAAGCUCCGUCGUGCUCUGCCGCUUCCGUUGAGCUGGUUGCUUCCCCAGCAAAAGCUCUGUCUCUCGAGUCCGCUGCCAUUGAUCAUACCCCUUCCGCGUCCCUAUUCAGGUAGAGAUCUCUUUGCAUUCACAUCGUAACCAGCCUCACAAGUAUUUUUCUUUUUUGGAACUUGCUUGAUGUUUGGCCGUAAUAGAACAGGAGUCCAUGCAGGAGGAAGGGUUAGUGGAAGUAGGAUUAGAAACAAUGGAUGAAGGAAUCAAAGAAGGGGAAGAAGGAAGAGCAUUGGAAGUAGGAGAAGAAGAAGAAGAUGUGGAGGAGGCGAAGAAGCAGUCCCAAUUCACGACGUCCGAAUGCUCAUGGAGGGCUUCACACGCGUGCCUAUCGGAGCCAGAAACUCUCCACUCAUAUCUGCGCUUCCCCUUUGGAGGUCCUAAAGUUCUUCUCUCUUGUUGCUUGACUAUCAUUCUUUAAUGUAUUUCAUUUAACUAUCGGCAACGCCUGUUGCUAAGUCCAGUGGUUGCUUGAUUCUUAUAUGUUGCGAAGUCCCUUGGACCAACAAGUUUGGCUUGCCUGAAAAGCGUAAGUCAUUCAAUGCCUCGAGAAGUACUUCAUAGUGAUUUGACCCUCGCAAGCCUGUAGGCUCUCGCUUCUCUUACUAUUCGAGUAUGUCAUAAGCAUCUCUUUUAUUGAGCUGAACGGCGUUAAAAGUAUUAAUCUCUCCUUGCAUGUCGAGUUUGACUCCACCUAAUGUCCCAAUAGUAGUCACCAGACAUUGCUGAUAAAACUGGUAAAUAGAAUUCGUGAUUGGCAACAUCGACAGUAUGGUAUAAUGCACGCCUUUCCUUUCCUUGAAAUAUGACUCUCCUCAUUGCAUUGCAAGUAUAACAAUGGCAUAAAAGCAUUACCUUUUUUUUUCUGUCCUGCGAUGCAAUUGUCCAUUUAGAGUACAUUCUUCGCUUGAAAGAAGCUUGGACGCUCCUUGUUUGCAGCUUCAGCAUCAUCAUCAGGAGAUGACGCCACAGCUCCCUUGUCUUCGACUGAUUCAAUUGUAUCGGCAAAAUCUCUGAAAUCCUUCAAGCUGUGAAAAAAAGGGAAGGUUAGAAAGAAAAUAUCGGAAGAAAGGUGAGAAUUUCCUUGUGCCGAGUGUUGGAUGAUAGCAAGAAAAUUAGCAGAGUUUGGCCUGCUAUAUUAAUUUAACAAGUAUAAAAGUGAAUCUCAACUCUUGCUUUGCUCUGGGACACAAACUGCUUAAACCUCUGCUGAUCCAUAAACUGAACUUCUUCAAAAAUGCUAUUAACCUUAAAGGCAUAUAGAAAUAUAAGCUAUUUAUCAAGAUUGCAUAUUAAACUGAAAUGAUAAAAAAGGUUUUACCAAAAGUCAAAGCCCAAGGAGAAAUGAGCAUUACAAAUUUAGAAUAAUAAAGUAAACAUAUAAACUAAAUCCAUUCUUAUAACAUAAACAUGCAAAUAUUGAGAUUUCUUACAUAUGUUUUAAGAUAACAAGGCUACCUUGGCGUAAGUAUAAUCAAGUUUGGACGUAUUCCAGUCAACUGUAAAUGUUAGAAUUAAAUGUCAAAUGAAACAGGCAACUUAUCGGAUCUCCAGAUUCAGUUAAGAGCAAUAAAUGGACGGUUAUACUUCUCUGUUCAUACAUAACAAAAGGGAUUUCCCUUGCAUUCUUGCAUAGCCAGAAGCCUCUUCAAGAUACCUACUAAACUAAAGACUCUCUCAAUCCCCUUAGGCGAUCUGGCCCCCUCGGCAUUACUUCCAUGAUCUGAAGAGCAAUCCCAAAACCCAACUCUGAUAGCUUUACCCCGUGAUAUCCUCUUGAGGAUGAGAACCAAGUUUAGACAAUCUGCAUCCAGCAUUAAGUGUUUAAUGACAUUAUUUUGGUCCUUUCGUAGAAACUAUCCUCUCUUUUCAGGCACUAUCUCAAAACUUCACUCAUACAACUGAGAGUAAGAGAAAGGAGGAGUCGCACCACAAAUUCACGAUUGACUGCUUUUGUCCACUUGGUAGCAUAAACCUCUAGGGCAUGAACAAGCUGCAAACCCAUAUGAAGAAGAGCUAAAUCACAGGAGAAAGCAUCCACAUUGUCAACCAAUGAAUUUACAUCCACCAGUAAUUUUCCACUAUGCUGAAAGAGUAAGGUUUUAACUCUUGUUCCAUAAUCACAAACUCAGAAGACUCCUCUCCCUCAUAGGCACUUGUGUUUCAUUAUUUCCAGAUCAACCAAAAACCAGACAGGAAUCGAAUGCAUCCUACUUUUCUCGUUGCACAGCAAAUGAAUCCACCACCUACUUUUGUCUAAUUUAACAAGUAUAUAAUCAUUUAAUUUUCUAACCUCUUCAUCAGUUAUCCUCCCCUUUGGCCUCACCCAAAAAGGGCUCUUACAAGUAACAAGAGAUAAUGCACAGCUGUUGGAUAAUCCAAACUGGCUAAAAGCCAUAAAAACUUGAUAACUCUCUUCAUGUCUCUGUAUGCUACAUAAUUUGUAACUUUAGGACAGCUCAUUUUUUUUAUGCUUAAAUUUAGUCUUUCGUAUAUUUGGGGCUCUUGCUAUAAUCGUGAUCUUAUUAAUCAGGAAAACCCACAUUUUCCGACACCUAGAAUACCUUAUGGUGCAAGAGCUUUCUUAGCAAAGACUAGACAAGAAUUCAAAGCACCUAUAAGCCAACCAGAGAGAACUUCAACCAGUAAAAAUUAUCUACUGCAUGGAAGUGAAGGGCAUUGCCCCUAAAAGUAAAAAAAAAAAAAACGAGAACCCAUGUACCAGCUUGAAAAGGUCUUCCGUGCAUCCAGCCAUGGCUUUGCCAUGAACAAUGAUAUGGCUACAAGGAUCCUCUUUGCCGUGAACUGAUGAUGUCAAUGGAUAAACAGACAUGCCUCCGGUUUUCCUUCCAAUUAACUGAUUAAGUUGCACAAAAGUCAAGUUCUUUGUCUCCAUCUCCAGCAACGGCCGACUGUAAGAGUUUUAAGUAGAGCAAAAGAAUCAAAUUGAAAUGCCAUUCACUGACAAAGAAAGCACUUCAAAGAGAAAUUCAAUGUAUAUUGGAUUGAUCACUGCAGCCACCAAGAUCGGCAGCAUAGCAGAAAAAAUACUUUCUGUAUCUGCGCUUCCAAGGCAUAUCUGACACAUAAUGAUAUCAGAUUUGAAUUGAACCUUAUCAAGCCUGAACACCUAGUCUGAGUCUAGGUGGCUGUGUUAACAUUUACCAUCUUUAUGAAGUGACGAGACUGCUAUGCUAUCUCUUUGAUAAAACUUACAAAAAAGAGGUACCAAUUAAAGAAGUUCUUUCUUCAGAGAACUCAUAUUGAACAUAACCUCAGUGGAAAGAACAUCAUUCGUGAAGAGAUCGUGUUGCAGAACUUUCACACCAUUAAUAUCACCAACCUGCAUUACUAUGUGAACGUUAAGAAGUCUGGCAAUGCGAUACAUGGCAUGGCAUCACGAAGUUAGAAAGGUGAACGGGUGACCUCUGUAGGUACACGUAUAGGCAUUUUAGGAAUGUCAUGCAGAGAAAGGCUUGGGAUAGUUCUCAAAGCUUCUGGUGGGUCUGGACUUCCUGCUCCAAACGUAGCUCCCGCGUGGCACGUGCCUACUGAGCUAAAUCUUCUUCUGGCAUACUUGCUUUGACUCUCUAGAAUUUCUUUCUCAGCAGAUUCAUCACGGGAAGCUUGCUCUGGAUCAGGCUGAAACGGAUGACGCUCGUCACAAUAUGAAAUGUCAAACACGGAAGCGUUAUGGACUCUGUAAAGUUGCAUACCUGCAUUUCAACAGUAACAAGAUGCAGAUUUUUCAAGAUGAACUUCUCUGUCAGUGGAGAGAAAACAGCCUCGGAGCCUUCCUUGGCUAUUCUUGCUUUUAAGGCCAUCAAGGACUCCUCAUGAUUUAAUGGCUCAGAAGGAUCCAUGUGGUAUAUCCAUUUUCCCUAUAAAUUCGGAAACAGGUCAAGCAGUUGAACUGAGGAAGACAGUGACUAAAUACGAUUGCAAAAUCCAGCAACAAGAAAUGGAAGAGUAAAACUGAAGCAUAAGCUAGAAAAUGAAAGGCAAGGAAACAAAUGCAAGAUAUUUCCAGAAGUGAUAAUAUUGGAAUCAAUAUAUCCUCUUGUUUGAUAUUGAAACAUGCAUAUUAUGCCAUACAAAAAAGUUUGUAAACUGGUCGGGAUCAAGUUGUGUGGCUGAUUCGGCUAGAGCAUCAGAGACACCAGCUGGAUUAGAUAAUGAAUCAUGUGGAUCAACCAUUUCCAGAGCAAGGGGCUCAUCCCAUUUGUUAAUAGUUGCUUCAAUGCCAACUUCAGUCAGAUGUUCCUCCAACUGAGAAUAAAUUGUGCGCAUGGUGCAACCUAAUGAAAAUAGAGACUUAAUGUUAUCCUCGAUUAAAGUCGAACACUAAUUUCAGAGGGAAGAAAAAAAGCCCACAUGCUCGAAACAGGAUAUCAGGCUCAUGUUUUCUCAUGAAAGCCAGAAAACCAUCUGUGUAAUUCGUCAAAUGAGCAUAACAGACUUGUUAUGUAUCCCCCAAAACUCAUGGAUAAAAGAUUCUCAACAGGAAAGCAAUUCACUCCUCUCCCUUCUGCCAUGUGAUGAAAGUCGGAGAAAUUCCACAAAACUGCCACACAUGCUGUGAAGCAUGAGAGUUCAGAAGAUAAUCAAUGUCCUAACCUGCAGCUUGUGAUAUCGCCAUCGAUAAAGGGUCGUGGGUUCACUCCCAGAAAGAAGACGCACUCAUCCAAGAAUUAUGCGUUACUUCGGCCAUUUGGCGCCCGGUAUCUCGUCUUCAAAAUUGUUGCGACUCGACAUACCAUAGUAUAAAUCUAGCACCAGAAAGAAAAACAUAAAUGUUUCUCAUUUCAGUCUAGUAAACUUCCAUAAAUCAGAAUUGAACUCGUGAUCGAGCACCGCAUACAAGCAUCUCCAGAUUCUAUGUUGGAGGUAAUAGGUUUGAGAGAGAAAAGAUAGUUGCUUGAAGUAUUAUACCAAGAGACGUCAAGUUUAGAACGCUCAACAGUGUUACUUCCAGCGUAGGGAAACCCUAGAGUUUUUAUAUGCACGUUAUUGGGCUUCGGCCCAUAUGGACCCAAAUAACCAUGCUUUUACCUAUUGGGCUUGUAUGUGAUCAUAUUAUUUUGGACUAUAUUAAUAAUAUAUCCAACAAUCUCCUCCUAUGUUCACCAUACAGCACAAUCCAAUAAGUUGGUCAAUGUAAUGUUCAAAUAAACAUGAAUCAUCCACAUUCAGUCCAAGACAAUCAACUCGGAUCGGUCAAAGAGUAUUCCAGCAAUAAAGUAUUAAACUAAAUCAUCAUGUGCAAACUAAAUAAGUGAAUCAUUCUUAUCAUGAAUCUGUUUUGAGAUUAAAAAUCCAAAUCUCAAAAUAAAUCUCAGAUUCAGUUCACAACCAAUAUAUGCAUAUUAAUCAGGUAUAAGUAGGCCAGUCAAAAUAGUCUAAGGCCUUACAAAUAUAAGAAGCAAGCAUAAUAAUGUCCACAAAAUAGAAAUAGCAAAAUGCAAGUCUCAAGUAAAUGGACUUCAUCAAAAUAGGCAAUAGCAGGUAAACUGUCAAGUCCCCACACGCUCUAAGUGAUAUAUAUUCAUUCAUCAAGUAGGUCAUCAUGGUCAGGAUCCCACUCAUUAAGCUCUCCUCCAUCUCUGCCAUCCCCUGUAGAAUGUCAAAUAUGAAUUUCAUAUUAUCAUGAAUUCAUCAAUUGAAUAAAAACUUAGCACCAUUCCAUCAGGCGGAGAAGAACAUAUAUUGAUGUCAUAAAGCAUCAUAAUAUCAUGUCAUAAGCAUCAAGCCAGUUUCAUAAAUUAUGAACAAGACCUAAACAAUGUGAUUUACAAAGAGCCAUCAACUUGAGUUUAUUUGUAGGAGAAUAACUAUUGUCUAGUUUCAAAGAACAAGACCAAUAGUCAAGUCACUUACAACAACCUAGUCAUGUAAUAUCAAGUUUCAAUUAAGAACAAGACAAAUAGGCUUCUUAUGUAAACAAUUGUUUCUAUGUUUCAAUUUGGAAUGUCACAAUUACUGAUUCCUUAAAGUCAAAUAAUCUAGCAUCAAGUUUGGAAUGAGAUCAUUUAACCAAAAAGGAUAGUCCAAUCUAGUUGAAUUGUAUCAUCAAGUUUGGAAUGACACAAUUUUUCCAGAUAGAACAUUUGAAUUAGGUUAAAGUCAUCUUCAUCAAAUUUGGAAUGAGACAACUCAUCCUCUUCAAUUAGUCAGCAACUGUGAACAUCAAUGAAACAUAUAAACUGUGCUUAUCAUUGUAGCCAAUAUGCCGUUCAAAGCUUACUUUCAUACCAAGAAUGGUAUUAGCAAUACCAAGAUCUUUCAUGUCAAAUUCUUUAGCUAAAGUAGCUUUCACGUCACUCACUACAGAAUGAUCGGAACCAAGAAUUAACAUGUCAUCAACAUACAAGCAAAUGAUGACUAUCUUAUUUGACAUAGAACGAUGGUAAAGGCAUUUAUCUGAAUAACUAGACUGAAAGCCAUAACUCUUUACCACUUCAUCAAAUUUAAGAUGCCACAUCUUAGGUGCUUGUUUAAGACCAUAUAAAGAUUUGAUAAUUCAAAACACAGGUAAGUAAAUGGUAGUUAAGACUUGCCUAUAUAGUCUUUAACCCUAGUUCCCCCACUGUUUUGAAUAAUCAAUCUUUAGGCAUACCUUUGGUGAGAGUAUCGGCUAUGUUAUCCUUCGAUCUCACAUCGAUCAAGGUGAUAAGCCCUUGUUCUCUCAGAUAAUUCAACAACGCAUGUCUCAGUCUCACGUGUCUUCUCUUUGAAUUAAAGAGAGUAUUCUUGACGACUUGGACAGCUGCUCGAUUAUCACAAAAUAGGCUUAAAGAAUUAAUCUUUAGCCGAGUCAAAGGAAUAUCCAUAAUCAGAUUCUUUAUCCACUCUGCCUCUUCACCGGCUGAGGCUAAAGCAAAAAGUUCCGAUUCCAUAGACGACAAUGCAAUACAAGUUUGUCGUUUGGAUUUCCAAGUAAUAGCAGCUCCACCCAAAGUGAAUACAUACCCACUAGUGGACUUACUAUUUCCAAUAUCUGAGCACCAUGAGGCAUCAGAAUAUCCAUCCACAAUUGGAGGAUAACCAGAAUAAUAAAGCGCAUAAUCUUUAGUACCUUUAAGGUAUCUCAUUAGCCUAUUGAGGGCAUCCCAAUGCUCUUUACUAGGAUUACUAGUAAAACGACUCAGCAUGCCAAUUGUAAAGGCUAUGUCAGGUCUAGUGCAACUCAUAGCAUACAUGAGACUACCAAUCAGUUUCGAGUACUUUAACUGAUCCACGCUGGUCCCUUCAUUAGGACUCAGUCUAUUAUUAUAAUCACAUGGUGUCUCACUCGGUUUACACUUAUCGAUGGCUUCUUUGGCAACUUACACUCUGCUGCCCAGUGACCCCACUUUCCACAGUUAUGGCACUUGCCCUUCUUCUUCUUUUUGAAGAUAGUCUUUUUGGCCUCUAACUGUAAAGAGGAUUCACCUUUUGGUGACUUGGACUUUUUCUAAGGUUUAUUGGAGUGUGAAACUAAGUUGGCAACUGACUUUUGUUGUCCCACUUGUUCCAAACUCUUCCUAGUGAUAUUUUGAUCCUCAAUGUGAAUAUACCUCUUUAAUUCAUCCAGUCCCAUCUGUACCUUCAGUCUGUGCAUUUCAGUCUUGAAAGAACUCCAUUCAGUUGGCAGUUUGCUCAACACAAGACCAACAAAGAGAUUAUCGAACAUAUCAGAAUUAUCAUCUUUCAGCUUGUUUCUCAUGUUCUCAAAUUCAACUAACUGAGAGGUGAUGCUUGAAUUCAUAGUGAAUUUAAAGUCAAAGAAUUUCUCCGCUAGGAGGGUUUUAGAUAACCCCUCUUGUUUUUGGAACUGAGCGUUUAAGUGAUCCCAUAUCUCUUUCGCCGUCUUAUACUCACUAUAAGUCAUAGCCAAAUUAGGAUUUAGAGAGUUCAGCAAGUAAUCUCUACAAAAAUCCUCAUCUUUGUUCCAUUGAUAUUCAUUCACAUCUUCAGUGGUAGAUGUAAAAUCGCUCAAUACAGUAUAAAAUAUGUCACGUUCUUUCAUGCCAAAUUGAACAUGUAAUUUCCAGCCAUGAAAUUCAGUAACAUCAAAAGAUUGCAACUUUAUAAUAUCAUAGGAACUACGCUUUGCCAUUUUAAUCAAAGCAAAGUGUUAGAAAGAGUGCACCUUGAAGUCCUUAGAGCAACAAAGUUGAAUAACUCCCCUAACCUUGAUCAAACCGCUCUGUAGAGAUGGAAUUUGCCAAAACAAACCCCAAAAACGGAUCUAGAGCGCCCAAAAACCUUAAGAUGGACUGCCCUUGUUGCUGAAACUCGCUGAAAAAUUUCGCCCCCCGAAAUUCGCUAGAAAUUUCGUCCCCAAAAUUCGCUAGAAAUUCAAAUGGAAACUUCUGGGUGCCAUAACUUCUCCGUCCGACCUCCGAUUGACGCGAGUGACCACUCAAAACGUUCGCAGCGACGAGUAGAUCAAAGCCCAAGUGUUUUCACCCUCUUAAAUUGGCUAUAAUUUUUGGGUUUUUGAAUCAAAGAUUUCGGUCACCCGAAUCUUCAAACUCAGAUCCCGGCCAAUAUCACCGUCAAAAUCGAAAGUAAAUUACAGCCGCGAGUUCGUCUUGACGAAAUCUUCAAGAACACACUUUACUCGCUCAAAUCCGACACACGAACCUAAUACUUCAAGAUUGUUGGAGGUAAUAGGUUUGAGAGAGAAAAGAUAGUUGCUUGAAGUAUUACACCAAGAGACGUCAAGUUUGGAACGCUCAACAGUGUUACCUCAAUCGUAGGGAAACCCUAGAGUUUUUAUAUGCACGUUAUUGGGCUUCGGCCCAUAUGGACCAAAAUAACCAUGCUUUUACCUAUUGGGCUUGUAUGUGAACAUAUUAUUUUGGACUAUAUUAAUAAUAUAUCCAACAUUCUAGUCCCUAUAUAAUUCCUCUAACUGUACUUCCAACAGUUGGAGCAGCAACUGCACAAAUCACGAUGCCUAAAAGCGAAACUCCGUGAUAAACUAAGACGCAUUUGCUCAUACGUGUGCAGCAAACACGACCAAAUUUCUCGUGACUAAAAAAAACAAAAAAAGGCAAAGGCAACACCUCGUAUGCCUUCGGUUCGGUCGGGUUGCUUGGGGAUCCUGCCUCGUCGGAAGGCUUGCAUACGGUAACUUUGACGAAGAGCGUGGACUAGUCCUCGAUGGAGGUUUUGACGGAGGGAGCAGAGCUCGGGCUUCUCGGUCGCCAGUUGGGAGGGACGGAGGGAGACACUUGCGCUUCCGAAUUUUUUGACGGUGGCCCCAAAUAUGACACGUGUCGUUGUGCACGUUCAUGCUAGAUGACCACGUGUGGCCAGAAAUUUUUUGCCUGAUAUUAAUGCACGAUUUAUCAAACGUAAGUUUUAUUCUACCUUUAUAUACGUGAAAAUAUUAUUAAUUUUAUUGUUAUCUAUAUAAUGUGUGGUGAUUGACCCACAAAUAAUCAUGGAUCUAAAUAAAUGCGUCAUUAAGACUACUAUGUCCGGCUUUUUGGACAUUCGUCAGAAGGGCAAAAAGGAUAAGAAAAGCUUAAGAAAUAGAAUCGUAGUGCCUUAGCCAAAAAGAGGCGUCUUGAGUUAAUCCAUUUAGACCCUUUUUUAAAUAGCGUUAAGUAAUCCCUGUAUGAUCACCUCUAGAAAAAAAACCAAUUUGGAUAGGAAAAAAAGGAAUGAAAUGAAAAUUAAAUUGAUCGAGUACAUAACAUGGGGGUGAGGUUCACCAAAUGCAAAUUAUGUAUGCGAUAAUAUUCUCUUUGCUCCAAAUUAGAAGUACUUAUUACAAAUAACAUCCAAUGGAUGCACAAAUAAAGUCAGGAGCUUCAAUCAAACUGAACUUUGAAAAAGGGCAAAUCGUCGAGCGACUGAAUAAUCUUUUGAAACCAGUCGAGAACUUGCAAAUGUAGACCGAAUGAUGCUAUAACAAACACAAGCAAGCAUGUAUUGGCAAUUAACAAUGUGGGAAGAGGUAGGCUGCUCCAAAGAAACAAUUCAAAACCAAGAGUCCCGAAAAUUGACAUACAAGUAUUGGUAUAUCGGUUUCGGAAUUGUUGAUCAUGUCACUUUAAUCAGUGUUAUGAAAUAAAUAGCUUUGCAAAUAAUGUAAAGCUGUAGAAAUGUGUUGCUCAUUGCCUCAGUAUGCUGAGAAUUAAAAUGGCCUAUUACGAGCAAUUUGAACGAAGUGAAUGCAAUAUGAAAUAUUUUGGUUAAGUCAAAAUUGUGUUGUGGUUGCUGCUGAUAUGGCUGCUUGUCACCCCUACAUUAAAUCAAGAAGAAAUUAACUGGUAAAAAGGAUUGACUCUAAAGAGAGAAGAAAUCGGCUGCUUUAUCGUGCUCUGAGCACAAAGAACUGAAGAGCGGUGAAUGAAUUAUGUACCUAUCCAAAGUUUCUGUUUGACUCGGCAUGUUGUGGAGAAGGCGGGCGUGUUCACAGAACAAGGAGGAUUCGAAGAGCCGGAAGAGACUUUGCCGGUGCCCAGGAGAACCUCCGCUCACUUGAACGAUGUUUGAUCUCGAGCUUUUGUUCUGUAUAUGGGUGUGAAGUAGCGAAGGACUUGCUUCAUGCAUGAAUUUAUACAGUCCCACGCAUGAGCUAAAAGAGCAACAGGGAGAGGGGCUCGCCUCCAAACAUCUCCACCGUAGAUCCAUCUGUUCGACAUUGGAAAAGUCAAUAGAUCUACGGUCGAGAUGUUUGGAGGCGAAAUGCAUGAAUUUAUAGAGUCCCACGCAUGAGUUAAAAGAGCGAAAGGGAGAGGGGCUCGCCUCCAAACACCUCCACCGUAGAUCCAUCUGUUCAACACUGGAAAAGUCAACAGAUCUACAGUCGAGAUGUUUGGAGGUGAGGUUUUCGCCUCCAAACAUAACAUCUCGACCGUAGAUCCAUUUAUUAGAGAUUGCAAAAGUCAACAGAUCUACGGUCGAGAUGUUUGGAGGCGAGGUAGAUCCAGUCCUCCCCAUGGGCUCCAUGGGAACGCGUUUCCUCAACCUUUAUGUCUUUUUCUCACAUGUACAAUGGGGCGGCUGCUUCCUAAUUUGUUAAUUCUUGACUAAGUUCUGCUCCCUCUUAUGUUUAGUCAUGCGAGUAGUUACUUCUCGAUUAAGUUAAUAUUUCAAAGCCAUUUUUUUUUUCAUUAUUUGUUAUACAACUUAUGUACAACGAGUAUUUAGAAAAAUCUAAUGCUGAAACCUUUUAUGAUGCCUUUAAAAUAUUUAUAAAAUUUUGUGGAAUCAUUGUCAAUUGUUUUAAAAACUUAAACUUAGAUGAAAGCAAAUUUAAUAUUUUACUAGCAUAUCAUUUUUCCUCAUGCUUAGUCUAGCCUUUUUGUCAUAUUUAAUUAGAGAUGUGUUGACACUUAAAUUUUGGCAAUCCAGUCAUUUAUUUAUUGCAUAAAAAUUAAUCCAUAAUUUUUAACCCCUAAAAAAAUUUAAUUAAUUAAUUGCAUAGCAUAUAAUUUUACGUGCAUUUAUUUUUAAUUUACAUUUGCAUUGGACUGAUGACAAAUGGGUGCGAAUUUGUGGUUUUGAACUUUAAAUUGACGGGUUGGACUAAGCACACCAAGGGAGCAAAUUGGCUUAAACCCUUUUUUUUAUGAUGAAAAAAUUAUAUUGUGAAAAAUAGAGAUUUGAAAUUUGCCGAGAUAUGAUGGAAAUUUUUUAAUAUCUUCAGAUAGGGCAAUUGUGAUAAAGAAAAAUAUUGUGAGCUCAUCUUUGCAGGAUUAGAAAUUUGAGAAAAAUUCUCGGAAAAAAUUCUCAUGGAUAUUAAUUUAAAACUUUAGUCCACUCAUCUGUGCUACGGAUACGACAGGGGUUUUUUUUUUUUUUUUAUUUGAUCACAUCGAGGGGGCUUUUUCUCGGUUUUCUAGGUCAAAAAUUGAGGACAAAAGAGAAAAAUUUCUGUCUUCACUUUUAGGUUUUUUGAGGUUUUUUCCUUCGUUGUUUUGGAAAAGCAACACAGAAGGAAAAAAACAGAAGAAUUCGUGGAAGAAAGAAGGCAAAGUCAAAAGAGGGCAGAGAGGGAAGCGACGUGAACAGGGGGGAAAAAAGGGGAAAAAUCCGGCAGAAGGGUGAGGGGACAGGUGAGAGAGAAAAAAAAGAAAAAAAAAAAGGGGAUACGGGAACAGUGUCGUCUUCUUCGCGAGGGCAGCCUCGCGCCCCGCCGACCACUGCCGCUCCGCCAGCAGCCCGCGAAGCCGCCGCUGCCUCGCCGCUUCGCCCGCCCGUUUGUCCCUCGCGUCCACCGUCGCCUCUGCAGUUUCCAGCGCCGACGCCCGCCACUGCUGCUCGCGACCUCGCCCGCCUCACUGCCGCUGCUGGUCCGCCGCUUCCCUCUGCCGGACUGCUGCCGCAGCAGCACCUCCGCACCUGCACCCUUCCGCGACGCCGAACGGUCGCCGAGCCCCCUUGCCGCGCGACCUGCAACACCUGCCGUCGCUGCUGCCGGUCAACGCCGUUUGCAGCGCCUCCGAGCGACGCCCGCGCAAGCUCUCAGUGCCGCCUCCGCCCGCCGCAGGUCCCCUCGCGUCUCUGCGAGAGACCGGGCCCUCUGCCUGAGCUUCUGCUCCGCCUCCGUCCCUGCUCUGCCCCCCCGCCACCGCUCGUUCGUCGCCGCUGGUUGCCGCGACGCAGCCGCUGCUGUCCCUCGGCCCGACGCCCCUGCCACCGUCGCCGGCGCCAGCAGCCCGAGCCGGUCGCUGCGCCCCCGAAGCCCGCGACCUGCGGUACGCGCCCCUGCUGCAGCACCCGUGACUCCGAGCGACGCCACAAUAGCAGCCCCCCUGCCCUGCUGGUCCGCCCGCCGCCGGUUCACUCGCCGGAGCUCCGGCGAUCCACCAUCACGGCGACCCAUCCUUGAGCCACGCCGAGCCUCUAUCGUGGGUCCGAGCUGCCGUUGCUAAGCCUCGUUUAGAAGUCCAAAAUCCCAAUUAGGUAGAUUUUUUUUUUCUUUAUUUGAAAUACUCCUUAAUGUAAGAUUGAAAUUCCGUGAAGUAACAUUUUAAAUUAGCGAUUGAUAGUCCGAUUUUCACGCCUGAAAUCUGACUCGUAAUUGUAUGAGAAAUCAUCAAUUCAAUCUCACGCUCGAGAUUCGCAAUUUUAUUUAAAAUUAACCUAUCCGAUCCUAUGUAUGAGAUAUAAUUCGUCAAUUUAUAAAUAUCAAUCUUAUCUUGCUAGAUGUGUUGUCGUGUUAUUUGAAUCGAUUUCGGUUUUGUAAAAAAUCCAAAAAAUUUGAAUUAGAUUAGGUUCUUUGCUUGUUUUAGGGUUAUCUUGUAAUAGGAAAUUUAUUUUGAUUUUUUAAAAAUAAAAUCCAAACAAAAACAUCAGCUUAGGAUGUUAGUUGUUUUAGGUUGCAUGUUUAUUAAUUUUAAUUUCGAAUUUUAUAAAAAAAUCCUAGAACUAUGGCACUUUUUGCACGUCAUUACAUAUUAGGAUAAGAUUUCAUGUUUAAUUUUUAAGUUUAGAUAUUUUUUCUUAGAUAGGUUGCAUUUUAGGUUAGGGAUUACCAAGUUGAGAUAAUGUCCUAGUUUAAAUUAAGAUUUGGCAUAACCUAAUUCUUAAUAUAAGUUAGGUGAGAUCUCAAUCUGGAUAGAUAAUUUUUGCGAUUUUUUAAUUUCGAAUUUCAUGGAAAAUACCCAAAAAAAAAUCAUCUUAGAAUAAAUUAAUUUUAUUUUCUAGAAUAGAUUGCAUGCUCAUUAAAAAAACACAAAAUAUUUCACUUACGUCAUAUAGCUUAAAUCAUAUUGCUAUGUCAUAUCAUUUCAUGUUAGAUUAGUAGCAUGCAUUGCAUAAAGUAUGAUUCUUAUUAAACAAGUGAAAACAAAAAAAGUAACUGCGUGUUAAUUAGAAAUCAUAUUUAGGGUUGUCGAUGUGAAUUCUAAUCUAAUACUACAAAUGCUUUCGUUGUUACGAGGUAAGUUCUGUAAUUUAUUCAUUACUUUUUCUUGGAUGUUAAAUUAGUGAUUUACGGACCCGCAUGAUCACCCCGUAUGUUAAGAAAGUAAAUUAAAAUCAAUUCAUGCUGCUUGCAAAAUAUUUUUUUUUUCAAAAUAAAAGAGAAAAUGUAUCGAAAGGGCAUUAGAGAAAUCUAGUGUAAUCAAGUCUCCAAACUCAUAAACCUCUGGUUCGUAAGAUUAAAGUGAAUCUCCCCUUACUUUACUUGGAUUUCCAAUCGACUAUCGAAAAUAGAUUGGUGACGAUUCCUAAUUGAAAAAUUAAUGGCGUGUUAAAAACUUGAACCUAAGUCUCGAAUUGGUAUAGAUUUAGGAGAGCCCGAAUUAAGUCUAAACUUAACAAUUCAUUAGUCAAACCUUAGGUGGUUCACCUGAUAUUAGGUCGUGACAAGAAGCAAAUGAAGCACGAAAAGAUUUGAGACCUACCAAUGCUGAUUGUUUUAGAACAACUGGCACUAAUCUCACAAAAUAUUCACGUAAAAUGUUUUUUUUAAUACUUUUUCUCACAUUUAAAAUAUAAUUUUUUUAAAAGUCUCAUGAAAAAUCUCAAAGCAUAAACAAGUAAGAUUAAGAUCGAAUUGCAUAUAUUGCAUAUCCUAUAAUUUUAUUUUCAAAUCAUAUUCAAUUAAAACACACAGAGUAUAUUCUCAAACGAUAAAUUCAUGUAUAAAAAGAAGAAGAAAACUACCAAGAACUCUAGAUUUUUUUCCAAAAAAAAAAAUAGAGAGAGAGGUUUCAGUGGUCGCGUUACAGUAAUUUGGGUCGAAAUUCAUCUAGAAGUUCGACGAAGGGCUGAAGAAAGUGGCGUGUUUGGGUAAAAACUAAGUAAAGGUUUUGGAAAGGGGAAAAAAAAUGAUAGUUUACUAAGGCCGCGCAUGACAAAAUUUUUGAAAUAAAAAUCAAUUUCUAUUCUAUUGACAAUUUUUUCAACAAAGAAACGUGUUUGAUAACGAUUCAGAAUUUCUAUUUCUAGAAUAAAAUUUCGUUUGAUAAGAAAAUAAAACUUUGUCAGAACUCGAAGGAAGGGAUGAAGCAAGAUUCGGAAGAGGAGGAAAGAGACGACAAAGGAACAGAUUUGGGGAGAAUUUCUUUUCUAUGUAUUUUUCUAUAUCUCGACAAUGUAUAUCGAUGAAUAAUUAUAAUACAAAGUGUACACAAAAAAGACAAUGUAAUAUCAUACAUAUCAACCUAAAUCAAUCUAGCUUUUAGAUUGAUUCUAUAAAAUCAAGAUCGGAUCAAUUAGUAUUCGAAGAUCUUCUGCAUAUCUUCCAACACUCCCCCUCAAGCUGGUGGCUUGUAAAUGUCCAAGACACCUAGCUUGCUUAAUAGAUAUGCAUGUUGUCUUUGACACAGCGCCUUGGUAAACACAUCCGCAGGCUGUUCAGCAGUUCCAAUCCCUCUCGUCUCAAUUGUUCCUUCUUGAAUCUUCUCCCGAGUAAAAUGACAAUUCACUUAUAUGUGCUUAGUUCUCUCGUGCAUUACAGGAUUCGCUGCAAGCUUCAGGGCCGACUCGUUGUCACAGUAUAACUUUGUCGGACCUUUCAAUCGUACUCCAAGGUCACUGAGCAAUUCUUGUAUCCACACAACUUCACAUGUGGUUUUUGCCAUGGCCUGAUAUUCUGCCUCUGCUGAUGAUAGAGAAACUGUUGCUUGCUUCUUGGUUUUCCAUGAGAGGAGGGAAUCUCCAAGCUUGAUACAGAAGCCAGUUAUGGAUCUUCGACUCAUAGGACAUGUCGCAUAGUCUGCAUCGCAAUAUGCUGUCAUUUCCAUAUUGCAUUUUCUGGAUAAAAGUAUUCCGAGUCCUGGACAUCCCUUCAAAUACUUGACCACCUUCAGAGCAGCAUUCAUGUGAGUUUCUUUCGGUUUGUGCAUGAAUUGACUCAGAUUCCGCACCGCAUAUGAUAUAUCAGGCCUGGUCAUAGUCAGGUAUGUGAGUUUUCCAACGAGCUUCUGGUAACUCGUCGGAUCUUGUAGUAUAGGAUCAUCCUGAAAUGUUCCCCCAGCAUGAUCUGCUGUAGUUAGCCUGACGUUCUGUUCGAUUGGAAUGACAGCUGGCCUGCACCCUGAUAAUCCGGCCUCUGAUACGAUCUCCAAUACAAACUUCCUCUGACUGAGAGAAAUCCCUUGGUGAGAUCGCGCGAUCUCAAUCCCAAGAAAAUAUUUUGGUGUUCCCAGAUCCUUUAUAUGAAAAGCGGUAUGCAAGUAUUUUUUAAGACUCUCUACUGCAGCUUCAUCGUUUCCCAUGAUAAGGAUGUCAUCUACAUAAAUCAUCAAGUAGAUAGAUGACGUACCUUUGGUCCAUGUAAACAAGGCAUAAUUGUACUUUGAUUGUUUGAAGUUGGCAUUGGUGAGAGCAUUGGCGAAUUUAGCAUACCAUUAUCUGGAAGCCUGUUUCAGCCCAUAGAGGGAUUUACGGAGACGACAUACUUUAUCCUCCCCCUGUCUCCGUAAGCCCUGAGGAAUGUCCAUGUAAAUUUCUUCAUCCAGAUCACCAUGAAGAAAAGCGUUGUGGACAUCCAUUUGGUGUAAUGACCAAUCAUGGAUUGCUGCAACAGAUAAGAAUGAUCGAACAGUGAUAUCCUUGGCCACUGGAGAAAAAGUUUCGUUAUAGUCGAAACCUUUGCGUUGUGUAUAUCCUUUUGCCACCAAUCGAGCUUUGUAUCGUUCAAUGGAUCCAUCAGCUCUAUAUUUUAUUCUGUAGACCCACUUGCAUCCUAUGGACUUCCUAUCUCGAGGAAGAUUAACUAUCUCCCAUGUUUGAGUAUCGGCCAAUGCCUGUAAUUCUGCAGCCAUCGCCUUUUGCCACGGUGGGUCUUUGGAUGCCUCGUCAUAACUAGACGGUUCUUUUUCAUCUGAUAUACGACUAAUGCAACAUUUAUGUUUCAACGAAAGUCUUUCAAAGGAAACAUAAGAAGAUGUCAGAUAGUUAAUACCUGGUCCAUUAAGUGAGGCACAGACAUAAUCUUUAGUCCAUGUCGGUCGUUUUGUGGCUCUCUUCGAACGUCGUGGAUGGUUCGUUGGUCGUGGAGGAGGAGAUAUUUCUGCAGCAUUGUUUUCUGCAUGAUUAGCAGAAUCAUUCUCAAUGUUGGAUGAAGUACUGGGUAUGUUGUCCAACGUCUCUGUCUGUGGUGAUUGAUCAAAUGGUGGGAUGACUUGCCCCAGUGAUGCAGCGAGAAAGUAUUCAGGAGAUAGAUUAUCUUCAAUUGGAAAUUGAUGUGAGCUAUUGGAGAUAUUCGAAUCCCUAAUAGUCUCAUGGAAUGGAAAGACAGUUUCGUGAAAUAUGACAUCCCUGCUCACAAAAAAUUCCUCUGUCGAUGGAUCCAAAAUGUAAUACCCUUUCUGUAGGUUAGGGUAACCCAUAAAAAUGUCUUUCCUUGCUCGUGGACCCAUUUUAUCUCGAGGUCCCACAGUUGUAGCAUAACAUAAACAACCGAAGACUCGUAGAUGAUCUACUGCUGGUUUUUUUUUUUCCAUAAAGUAAUUCAAAAGGUGACUUACCAGCUAAGAUCUGAGUAGGCAUACGGUUGAUGAGAUAGGCUGCAGUAAGGACACAAUCUCCCCAUUAUGUUGCUGGUAUGGAUCCCUGAAAUUUUAAAGCACGUGUGACUUCUAGCAAGUGACGAUGCUUACGUUCCACUACUCCAUUCUGUUGUGGAGUAUAAACACAAGAGCUUUCAUGUAGAAUGCCAUGAAGCAGGAAGAGUGAUCUGCAUUCAUGACUAAGAAACUCUUUUCCAUUGUCAGUCCUUAUUCGCUAGAUUGACUUCCCAAACUGAUUUUUAGUCAGGAUAAUGAAUGUCUUCAAAUAAGAUGGAACCUAUGCUUUUGAUUGCAUCAAGAAUACCCAUGUGGCUCGAGAGUGAUCAUCAACGAUAGUGAGAAAUUAUCGUGAACUGUCACGAUGUGCUGUGUGAUAUGGCCCCAAACAUCCACAUGCAUUAAGGAAAGGAUAUUAUUGGAACGUUUUGCAUUGGAAGGGAAAGCUGCACGAGAUUGUUUUGCUAAAGGGCAAACAUGACAGUUAGGGUAUGGAAAGAAGGUACUAUGUCCCAUUCGUGAAUGCAAAAGAAAAUCUUUAUCAUUGGCAAUGACGUUACACAAUGACAUUUUAUUGAAAGGAAUUGAACCAUGAUGACUUGAAGUGCUGGUCCAGAAAUAUAGACCUUCAGAAAUAUUACCCAAGCCCAUCAAUUUCCCAGUCGAAAGGGCCUGAGAAAAACAUGUGUCAGCAUCAAAGAGUAUUUGGCAAGAGUUUUCUUUGCAGACUUUGGACACGGAAAUGAGGUUGAACUGGAAUUGUGGGACAUAAAGGACAUUUUGCAGGAUAAUUUGGGGGCUUAAUUGAACAGUUCCUGUCAAUGUGACAUGAGUAAUAUUUCCAUUUGGAAGUUCCACAGAAAUGGGUUCCUCCAAUUCCUUAUUCCUUUUUGAAAAAAAGCUCAAAUCACAAAUAAUAUGAUCAUUCGCUCCUGAGUCAAUUAUCCAUGCCCUUUUUGAAAUUGAGUUUAUCAGGCAGUGAGAUAUACCUAAGAAGCUUCCCCCUGUUUUUCCAAUGUCUGUUUUCUACAAUGCCUGCAUCAAUUGCUAAUAUUGCCCAUGAGUAAUGGGCCAGUCACUAUUUAUCCCAGUAGGUCCAGUCACUUGGUAAGCUGCAGAAUAUUCUCUCCUUUUUCCUUUUUCUCCUAGCUUUCCAUGUAAUUUCUAGCAAUUAUCUAUAGUAUGAUGCGGACGUUUACGGUGCUCACAGUACAAUUUACCUUUCCCUUUCGAAUUUUGGCUGAAAUUUCGUAUGGAAAAAAUCUGGCCGUCGGAUCCCUUGAUUCCCGAAUUAUCUCCAUCGUUCGAUCUAGCGAACAGAUCAGCUCUUUGCGGACCGUCAGAUCUUCGGGAUAAAUCGGAGCCAUCAGAUCUCCUCGAGAAAUCUGUGCCGUCGGAUCGCCUGCUUAAAUCCUGGCCGUAGUUUCCAUCCCUUUUAAUGGAUCGUUCAGCCAUUUCGAACCCUAGCCCUUCGCGAUUCUCUCGAGCUAGGGUUUUUGCUCCCAAUUCUCUCCUGCGGCGUUCUCCGCGUAGGGCGAGGGCUACGGCGUCGCCUCCUCGUGUCUGUUCCGAAGCCGUGAGUCGUUGGCUCUCCUCUUGGACGGCCAACUGGAAAAUCCCGCCGAGAGGCGGCACGGGGUCCAUCGCCAGAAUCUGCGAUCUAAAGGUCAGGUAAGAUUCAUUCAAAAUCAAGAGAAAUCGAGUGGAUUUCUCCCUCUCCUUCAUCGAUCUGUACUGCCUGAGUGUCUUUGGGGGUCCCUCGAGCUUUUCCUCUGCGGCCUCGAGCUCAUUCCGGAGCGAUGAGAGUUUGUUGUACACCGUCGUUAUUGACAUGUUUCCUUGUUUGAGAUCCGUGAGUUCCUACGUGAGACAGAAAGUUUUUGCUUGAUCUAACUUUCCGUACAUCUCUUUGAUGUUGUCCCUCAUGGUUUUCGAAUCUUCGGUCGGUGGGAGGCCUGCUGCUACGUCUAGGGAGACACAGUUGCCGAUCCAGGUGCAGAUCAGGCGAUUGCACUUUCUCCAGUGCCUUGCCAGCCUCUCGUCCAACGGGAUCGGCACGGUUCCGUCGAGGAAACCGUCCUUAUCCUUUGUUGCAAGAGCCCUCCGGAAGUCUUGUGACCACUUGCUGUAAUUUUCUGGCCCGAUUAGUUGCAGACUGAUGAGUCGCACUUCUGGACCGUCGGCGGUAGAUACAUGCAAGGGGUCCCCUGGUUCCGGUCGGCCGGUGAUAGCCGCAAUCGGAUACAGAAAGAAAUUGGGUGGAAAAUUUGGGUUUGGGUAGGGAUUCGUCCCUGUACUCGACCCAUCGAAUCCAGAUCCAUGCCCCGCAUUGAAGAGACCCGGGUGAAGGUUUGUUCCCGAUCCUGCUUCUCUAGACCCGCUUCUUGGUUCUGUCUCGGUGGUUGAGUUUGCCUCGCUUGCGGUUGGUAGACCUCCAUCGAGCUUAACAGUGCUCUGGUAAUUCAUUACCCCUGGUAAUGAUGGAUUCGGGCCUUAUCCGACGUACCAUGGAUAGGGUACCCAUUGGUAAGGUUGGCCCGGAAUGGGCUGCCCCACAUUCACCUGAGCCGAGAACAUCUGCCAUUGUUGCUGUGUCGUUGCAUUUGCAGGUACCACAUCGGUGUUGCGGCCUUGCGUCUCCACCGUCGGUGUGACAUUGCUUGUGGAAGGAAUUCCUAUGCUGACGGGAGGUAGGUUUUCUGGAUUCAUGGUAAGUAGAUCCUCUCCGCUUCUUCUCCCUUCUUACGAUAAUUGAUUCUCUCGUAACAAGACGUAGAUCUGUCUUGCAGAUUCAAACGAAAGCAAUCUGGUGCGGAAGUUGGAGCUUAGAGCCAUAGCUCUGAUACCAUGUCAGAGCUCGAAGCAAGGGAUGAAGCAACAUUCGGAAGAGGAGGAAAGAGACGACAAAGGAACAGAUUUUGGGAGAAUUUCUUUUCUGUGUAUUUUUCUAUAUCUCAACAAUGUACAUCGAUGAAUAAUUAUAAUACAAAGUGUACACAAAAAAGGCAAUGUAAUAUCAUACAUAUCAACCUAAAUCAAUCUAGCUUUUAGAUUGAUUCUAUAAAAUCAAGAUCGGAUCAAUUAGUAUCCGAAGAUCUUCUGCAUAUCUUACAACAAACUUCUAUUUCUAAAAGCGGCGAUAGCCGGCGUUUGGUGGCCGGAGUCUGAUGUCCGGCGAUGGGUGUUUGGCGUUCAGCGAUCGACAGUGGGUGGUCAGAGUCCGGCAUUCGGCGGCUGACGUCUGAAGUUCAACGUUCGGCAUAUGACGUUCGGAGGCCAACGAUCGGUGGCUAGCGGCGAGUGGCCAACGGUUAGGUUCCAAUGGUUGAUGGUGAGGGGCCAAUGCUGGUGACGAGGGCCAAUGGCUAAAGUCUGAUUGACGGUGGCGGGUGCCCAAGCUAAAGUCUGACGAUCGGUAGUGGGGGGCCAACGGUUGGAGUCUGGCCGUUGGCAACUAGGGGCGAGUGGCCAAUGGCCGGAGCCCGAUAACCCCCGACCGGCAGUUGGUGGUGGGUGGCCAACAGCCAAAGUCCAACAGUUGACAUCCGAUGGCCAGUGGUGACCAACGGGCGAUCGACUAGGGACGUUCGGUGGUCGAUGGUGGGCCUCCGGUGUCCAGUGGUUGGCGAUGAGUGGCCGACAACUGACAGGCAUCCAACAUCUGACGGUCGGUAGUUAGUGACAAGUGGCUAGAGUUCGGUGGCUAACAGCCGGCAUUUGGUGGCCGAUGGUCAGGGGUGAGCCGGCGACUGGUGGCGAGCGUUCGGCAUCCCACGGGCGGCGGGUGGGGGACAGAUGAUGACGAGAGUGAAUGAUAAAAAAAAAAUUGAUUUCUCAUUUUUGUUCUAAAAAUAGAAAAGUUAAAACUUUUAACUUUUGAUUUUUACUCCAAAUCUAUUUCUGGAAUAAAAAUUUAUUCCAGUAAUAAGAAAUUGAAAUUGUGUUACCAAACGGAUUUAUAUUGCAAACCUAUUCCCGGGAAUAGAGAAACAGAGAAAUAGAGAAAUGGAAACGUUGUCAUGUGCACCCUAAAAGAGUUGCUUUAAAACUGGCUCUUCCUUUUCGGGGAUCGAGAAAUCAAAUUGAAUCGGUUUGUUGGGUCAACGAUGGUCUCCUAGUUAGUGCCCCUACCUACGUGCACUCUUCGUUCAGUUCAUCCAGCUGACAGGCGGUGGCCACUCUCCUUCAUUCACCCAUUGCCACUCGUCAGGUCGCUUAGCCGCCGAAGCUCCGUCGUGCUCUGCCGCUUCAGUUGAGCUGGUUGCUUCUACAGCAAAAGCUCUGGCUUUCGAGUCCAUUGCCAUUGAUCAUUUCCCUUCAUGUCCCUAUUCAGGUAGAGAUGUCUCUGCAUUCACACCGUAACCAACCUCACAAGAGUUUCUUUUUUGGAACUUGCUUGAUUUUUGGUUGUAACAGGAGUCCAUGCAGGAGGAAGGAUUAAUGGAAGUAGGAUAAGAAACAACAGAUGAAGGAAUCAAAGAAGGGGAAGAAGGAAGAGCAUUGGAAGUAGGAGAAGAAGAAGAAGAAGACGUGGAGGAGGUGGAGAAGCAGUCCCAAUUCGCAAUGUCCGAAUGCUCAUGGAGGGCUUCACACGCGUGGCCGGUUGUACACACUUCAUAAACCUGUCCAAUCGAAGACAGAAACUCUCCACUCGUGUCCGUGCUUCCCCUUUGGAGGUCCUAAACUUCUCCUUAUGUUGCUUGGCUAUCCCUUUUUUUUUUUUAAAUCUAUUUCAUCUAACUAUCGGCAACGCCUGUUGCUAAGUCCAGUGACUGCUUGAUUCUUUUAUGUUGCUAAGUCCCUUUGGCUAAGACGUUUGGCUUGCCUGAAAAGCCUAAGUUGUUCAACGCCUAGAGAAGAAUUUUAUAGUGAUUUGGCCCCUCACAAGCCUGUAAGCUCUCGCUUCUCUUACCAUUCGACUAUGUCAUAAGCAUCUCUUUUAUUGAACUAAAUGGUGUUAAAAGUGUUAAUCUCUCCCUGCAUGUCGAGUUCGACUUCGCCUAAUCUCCCAACAAUCGUCACCAGACAUUGCUGAUAAAACUGGUAAAGAGAAUUCAUGAUUGGUUGCAUGUGUCCAUUUAGAGCACAUUCUUCGCUUGAAAGAAGUUUGGACGCUCCUUUUUUGCAGCUUCAGCAUCAUCAUUAGGAGAUGACGCCAGAGCUCCCUUGUCUUGGACCGAUUCAAUUGCAUCGGUAAAAUCUCUGAGAUCCUUCAACCUGUGAAAAAGAAAAAGGAUGGUUAGAAAGAAAAUAUCGGAAGAAAUGCGAGAAUUUCCUUGUGCCGAGCAUUGGAUGAUAGCGACGAAAUUAGCAGAGUUUGGCCUACUAUAUUAAUUUAACGUGUAUAAAAGUGAACCUCAAUUCUUGCUUUGCUUUGGGACACAAACUUCUUAAACCUUUGCUGAUCAAUAAACUGUACUUCUUCAAUAAUGCAAUUAACCUUACAAGUACAUAGAAAUAUAAGCUAUUUCUAGAUUGCAUACUAGAUUGAAAUGAUAAAGAAGGUUUUAGCAGAAGUCAAAGCCCAAGGAAGAGUGAGCAUUAGAAUAAUAAAGUAAACAUAUAAACUAAAUCCAUUGUUAUAACAUAAACAUGCAAACGUUGAGGUUUCUUACUUAUGCUUUUAAGAUAACAAGGCUACCUUGGCAAAAGUAUAAUCAAGUCUAUGGACAUAUUCCAGUCAAUUGUAAAUGUUAGAAUCAAAUGUCAAAUGAAACAGAUAACUUGUCAGACCUCCAUAUUCAAAUAAUAGCAAUAGAUGGAGGGAUGUACUACUCUUUUCAUGCAUAACAAAAAGGAUUUCCCUUGCAUUUCUUGCAUAGCCAGAAGCCUCUUCAAGGAAAAAAUCACUUAGCUGGUUUUUUUUGUCAACAAUCGAAACCUGAGGAUAUUCAAGGGAGACAUCUACUGAACAAAAGAAUCUCCCAAUCCCAUUAGGUGACGUGGCCCCCUUGGCAUACUUCUAUGAUCUCAGGAGCAAUCCCAAACCCGACUCCGAUAGGCCCCCUUGAUGUCCUCUAGAGGAUGAGAACCAAUUUUAGACAGUUUGCAUCCAGCAUUAAGUGUUCAUAUGACAUUAGUUAGGUCCUUUUGUGGAAAAUAUUCUUUCUUAUUAGGCACUCCCUCCAAUCUUCGCUCAUGCAGCUAAGAGUAAGACAAAGGAGGAGGUGCAUCACAAAUGCAGGAUUGACUGCUCUUGUCCACUAGGUAGCAUCAACCUCUACCAUCAUCUGUUCUGCUUGUCUUUAUAAGUAGAGAGAAAUCCCUCUAGGGCAUGAACAAGCUGCAAACCCAUAUGAAGAAUAGCAGGAGAAAACAUCCGCAUUGUCAACCAAUAAAUUUACAUCCACCAGUAAUUUUCCAUUUUGCUGAAAGAGUAAGGCUUUAACUCUUGUUCCAUAAUUACAAACACAGAAGACUCCUCUCCCUCAUAGGCACUUGUGUUUUCACUAUUUCCAAAUCAACCAAAAACCAGAGAGAGGAAUCAAACGCAUUCUACUUGUCGCACUACACAGCAAGUAUAAAAUCAUUCAACUUUCUGACCUCUUCCUCAGUUUUCCUCCUCUUUGGCCUCGCCCAAAAAGGGCUCUUAUAAGUAACAAGAGGAAAUACUUAGCUGUUGGAUAAUCCGGUUUCCAUGACACACGCCAAUGAGGUCAAUACUACAAAGUAAUCUUUGCGGACUUCUACUACCACAUCAGUCAGCAACAAAGAACUGUCCUACUUGCAGGACAGGCGAUAGAAAAAGUUGAUAUCUAAUUUAAAGGCAUACAUCAUGCAUGCAGUAAUAGCACAAGCAACUUUGUCAGAUUACCGCUAAGGAUGCAUAGACCUCCUCGUUUGGAUCAUCAUCCCCAUUAAAACCAUAUCCUAGCGUUGUUGGGAUUGUAAUACUCAUGACAGAACUCCUGUACGGUUUAAGAAAGAGAUAGAGAGUUUAGGGACCAACAGAAGAUAUCCUUCAGAAGUAUCACCAUCAAAGCAACCACUCCCAUGGUUAUUUUCAUUCUUUUCCACUCUUUUGGCAUUCGAACUUUUGGAAGCUGCAUGUUUGUCACUAUAGAAGCUUACAAGCAGCAACAACAUUACGAUUCCAUUCGUAAAAACACUAAUUGGGUUUGGAACAAAUUCGAUGGGGGAAGGAAUGGAACUACGGGCAAACCUUGAAUUCCUCAGAUGUCAGUUUAGCAUGCUAGCGGUCGCAUCCCCAUAGCCAAAAUAUGAUGGUCUCAAAAGCAAUGAUAUCAAUAAUAAGAUGAGGGAGUAUGUAGCAUGAAAAAAUAUUUGUAGACAAAAUAAGGAUCAAGCCAUAUUCAAGAUUUUAUAAUAUUGACAGGAUUGGAUAAAAUUGUCAUAUGUUCUUUAUAAGUAGGUCAAACGAAUUCUAUUUGAGGAGAAAAAAAAGAAGUAAUCGGGUGAGUGGAACUUAGUGGGUGUAUCUCUCUCUCUCUCUCUCUCUCUCUCUCUCUCAAGCAUGGUCUCUAAUGCUAACUUGGAUUGAAUUAGAGGUAGGAGACAUUAAAAGAAAUGUGUUCUAAUAGCUUGAUUUGUCAAAAUUUUUAGUAAUUUCUCAUUUGCUAAUAUUUUUAUAUUUAAUUUGAUAUAAACUUUGAUCCUCAUAAACAUUAAAAAAAUCUGAAAAUAUUCAAAGAUUUGAAAAUAUUGAGACCGCUCAAUUUGUAACAUAAAAAUCGAUUGAGCAUCAAAACAUUUGCACGUCGAUAUAUGAAGGAACUUGAAUGAGUUCAGGGCUUGGAAGUUAUUGGAUCUCGUUAGGACCAGAGAAAAUAUUCAGUGAUUUCAAAUCACAAUGUCAGCUGCUGAGGUGGCAUAUAUUUUUCGUUAAUAACCCAUCGUAAGUUGGCAUCUGUCUAAUGACGUGGAACCGAAUAAAAAAAUAGAAAUUUAUCCUAGGUCUGUCCUGCCAUGAAAGUUCUUGCUUCGUUGAAGUUUGCAGCACCUCCGUCGCGGUGGACACCAGCGGAGUCGACAGCGCCGCGUCUUGCACUAAAUCGAGCCACCCCUUCCGGCGUUGCUCGACGCAGACGAUGGCCAUUGAUAAGCAACAUGACGACCAUGGAUGGCUAGAUCUAUAAAUUUGAAGAGUGAUGCCGGCGAAGGUGACGACGGCCAUGGAUGAGGGACGCGCUGCCAGAUCUGAAGGUUGGAGAUAAACAGAAAAAGACGGGAGCCGGAGGGUUGGCUCGGCCCGACCGCGAGUGACGCCGGAAGGGGUCUUCCAUCAUUAAUGGCCGCAAGUUUUGCUUGUUCAUGGCUCGCGAGGCGCCUCAUCCACAGAUCUGGCGAUGGCGGAUCGCCCAUGGCCGCGAGCCUUGACAGCGAGCUCCAAAUCUCGUCCUUGGACGAAGAUUCGACAACGGAAGCUUCUUUCCUUCGUCGGAGUUGCAGACCUCCUCGCUGUCGCCACCAGCGGAGUCGCCGGCGCUGUGUCCUGAGAGUCCACACCGACCCACCUCGCGAGCCAUGGACAGCCAAAUCUUGCAGCCAUGGAUGAUGGAGGAGGAGGAGCAGAGAAAACGCCAGGCUGGAUGAAGGAGAACGAGAGAGAGAGAGAGGGGUCAGAUUUUAAUUUGAUCCCUAGUCGGUUGCUGGCAAUCUG